rnacentral:snRNA from 1 species
GUGCUCGCUUCGGCAGCACAUAAACUAAAAUUGGAACGAUACAGAGAUUAGCAUGGUCCCUGUGCAAGGAUGACACGCAAACUCAUGAAGCAUUUCAUAUUUU